GACGAACGCUGGCGGCGUGCUUAACACAUGCAAGUCGAACGGAAAGGCCCUGCUUUUGUGGGGUGCUCGAGUGGCGAACGGGUGAGUAACACGUGAGUAACCUGCCCUUGACUUUGGGAUAACUUCAGGAAACUGGGGCUAAUACCGGAUAGGAGCUCCUGCUGCAUGGUGGGGGUUGGAAAGUUUCGGCGGUUGGGGAUGGACUCGCGGCUUAUCAGCUUGUUGGUGGGGUAGUGGCUUACCAAGGCUUUGACGGGUAGCCGGCCUGAGAGGGUGACCGGCCACAUUGGGACUGAGAUACGGCCCAGACUCCUACGGGAGGCAACAGUGGGGAAUAUUGCACAAUGGGCGGAAGCCUGAUGCAGCAACGCCGCGUGCGGGAUGACGGCCUUCGGGUUGUAAACCGCUUUCGCCUGUGACGAAGCGUGAGUGACGGUAAUGGGUAAAGAAGCACCGGCUAACUACGU
rnacentral:rRNA from 1 species